UGGGAAUUGUAGUCCCAAAACAUCUGGAGGGCCGAGUUUCCCUAUGCCUGUUUUACACAGUAUUCUAAGUAACUGGGAAAGUAAAUGAAAAAGAUAUUGUAUUAAUAAAGGAAGAGAGAAGACAGCCUAGGACUAAACAACUGAGGUAAUCAAAUCUAAGUGUAAGUCAAAAGAGCCAGGUUUCACAGCUAGGGAACCAGAACAUGGGUGUAGCCAGGGGGCAGCUGCUCCCCCGUCAAGUUAAUAAAUAAAAAUACUUAACUAAAAGUAGAAAUAAUCAGAACGCUUGAAAUUGAAAUGCUCACUGAGGUCACUUGGGUGAUGAUAUGGCAUAUUUUAGUGACACAUCUGGCAACCCAACUGAGUGAUAGGCUGUGUUUUGUGAACUCCCAAAGUGCAUCACAGGUAACACUCUUCUGGAAGCUUCUCGUGGUUUCCAGCAUUUUCUCCUGAGAGUGCACACUUGCAGGGACUGCCUAGGAACUGUUCUUGGUAAAAUCAUUCCGAAUCUGAUGAUGACAAGUGGGUGUCCUGCCAACAUAAAUCCUGGCUAUGCUCAGGAGCCAGAGGUCUUACCUUUCCAGCAACCAGGUGGCUCAAAGGAGGGACCACCUAUCGUCAACCUUAGCGGCAGAGAAUCCUUCCUCCUGAGAAGAACCCUUACUCAUGAGCAGCCCUUUAUUCUGGAGCAACAUAGCAACUGGGCUUUCAGGCAUGGAUUUUGUCAUUGACUUGCAGCCUGAGCUUGGACCUUUCUCCAUCUGCAUUCUUGAGGGCUGGGGUGGGGUGGCUCAGCCUCUCCAUCUAAAUGUGCUGGGAAUCUGUUGACAAUUAGAUUGGAUCCUCUGGAGGCGGCCGUAAGGAGGCCCCCCCAAAUUCAUAGGGUCUUCAAGGCUAGCAACAGGGGGCCCUGCCUGCUCUCCCAGGUCUUGGGCCAAGAGGAGGUCCAGGUCAUCCAAGCAGUCAGUUUCUGACUCUGGGUCAGUUUCUGACUCUGGCAUUUUUAAGAGCACCCAAAAUAUUCUUUUAAAAAAAAAUAUUGGUUUUUUACAAGAACAAAUUCAAAAUAAUAAAAAGAAAAAACUUUUACCAUAUCCAUAUAUGAGAUUCUCUGAAUCCCUUUACUUCCCCCUAUCCCCUGCAAGGGUCCUUAACAUAAUUUUUCUAAAACGACAUUACGUUCUCCACAGUUUUCAUCGCUCUAAAUUAACCUUAUUUUUCGUUUCUUCACAAGUCCAGCUAACAUUUUUAUUUGUUUACGGUGGUCUCCAGUGCGGUUUUUGGCGCUCUGCAGAAAUACAGGAGCCAUUAAAGGGCUGGGGCUCUUACCAAGGUGCACACGGCUGUUUCUGCAUAUAUAUCUUUAAUAGUAAUUAUGUAAAAUAUAUUAAUUUGCUGGCAGUUGUGCAGAGCAUUUUGCAUGAAUAAAUGUCAACCCAUACUGGUUAUUGGAGCUGCAUUUGAGAAAGCAGCUAUGAAAUUGUUUUUAGAAGAUUUAAGCAAAGAUCUGAGAGUUUCCUUUCUCGCUUCAGAAUUUUGCUGAGCUUUUAGAUGUGUAAUUUCCUAAAUGCCUGCAUUGUUUUAUGUUGCUUUGAUUCUCUCAAAAUUACUUGCGAUCUAGGCAAGACAGGUAUAGGAACCCUGAGAGAUCAAAAUGUUGGCAACGCAAGUAGUCAGAAGGGAGUCAGCCCAUGUUCAACUUAUGCAUAUCCAGCUGGCCCUGCCUAUCUACCCCAACUGCCCCUGAACCGUCUACUGGGGUUUCUCACUUCUCCCAGCCACCUCCCACUAGUAACUUCCUCCUCCCUCUCAGCCACCCUGUCCAUUUGUGACAUCACAGGAAGUUUGUAGCUGGUGGCAACUGCUUAGGGAUGCAUCUGCACGACCUCCCAUCCUGGUACUGGAAAGGGGAAUGUCAUGAACGUUACUUAGAUGCAUUUAGAAAUACCUUGAUUUAGAAGUAAAAGAUGGCUUGCUUAAGCUCUGCUGUUCCCUUCAUUGCUGCUUUCGGGGAAAGCCUCAUUGGCUUGUAGCAUCCAUGAAAGGCAAACACAGAUAUGGUGAGGGGAAUGGCCCUCAUUCAACAGUUAUCAUUCAGCCACCUCCACUGGCCAGCCUGCCAACCUCUGCUGGCUUCCACCCAUGAAUAUCCAGUGGUUCAUUCGCCCAGAGCCUGGAGGGCAGCCUACACCGCUAUCUGAACAUGCAAUUCCCAGGCAUACCAUGUCUGGUGGGUGACCUAUGUCCAAUCUCUCCAUUCAUACUUACCCCAGCGUCAACGCACAAAUAUCCACACAGCUUUUGUCAAUGGCCUUCUGAAGGUGAAUUUCAACCAGCUUACAUGCACAAACUUCAGCCUCCUUCAGCCCUGCAGCAUCCCGGGCUUCCACAUGCUAAUCACAGCUUCUGCCAGGUCCAUUACCAGCUUCCAACCAUGGAUAUCUGCCACUUUCAAGCUGCGGUCCUGCUCAGCAGGUACACUUGCCUUCUCGUUGCUCCACAGAAUCUCAUUGGUGGAUGAUGGCCUCCUUCCAUUUGCCACUUCGCCUCCAUGCGGAAGAAGACCACCAAGUACUGAAUAACACAGCUGUUGUCCACUGUGUCCUCUUCAAGCUUUUGCCUUGGGCUUUCCCUUUGGGCUGCUUUUGUAUAUCCACUGAGCUUCCGUGUGCUUAUGUGACAUCACAGGAUGUCCACAGCCAAUAACAGCAGCUGGAGCAGCAUCAUCAGCAUCACCUCAGGCCUCACAAUGGUGGGUGCCGCUCAGAAGCCAUUUCCCCUUUGCUUGUUUGCUAUGUACAGCUCACUCCUUAUCUGUAAUGACACCAGAGAAAGGCAUGCCAUAAAUCCACCUUCCCAUUUUGAUUCUCUGGCGCCCUAUCUGCAUAACCUAGCAAUUCCAAAAUAUAGACGUGUUUUUACUCUCGCAAGAUUGAAUGUAUUGCCCUCGGCUGUACUUGAGGGAUGAUUCCAACAGAUUCCACACGAAAAACGCUAAUGUCCCUGUGGAGAUGGCAGCACAGAAUCGGUGGCGCAUGCCCUUCUGACUUGCACUCUUUAUAAAGACUUGAGGAAUGAGAUUAUCACCCCUCUUUUAUUGUCCAUUCUGGGUCACCCAGCCACUGCCACAGUGUCCUUUCUCUUGGCAGAUCAAGAUGAGCAGGUAACAGCAAAGGUUGCAGGGCUUUUAGCUGGGGCAAUCAGAAUAAGAUCCACUAUUUGUGUUUUAUAUAAUCUGUGUUUUAUAUAAUCGCCUUUUUAUUUCUGUUCUGUGUAUAUUGCAAUGUUCUUUUGUUGCUAUGGUCUAUGGCUGACGCAAAUAAAGUUUCAGUCAUUCAGUGGU